GACUACCCCCUAAAUUUAAGCAU
rnacentral:rRNA from 1 species